rnacentral:rRNA from 1 species
UACGUAGGGGGCAAGCGUUGUCCGGAAUUAUUGGGCGUAAAGAGCGUGUAGGCGGUCCGGUAAGUCAGCUGUGAAAGUCAAGGGCUCAACCCUUGAAAGCCGGUUGAUACUGUCGGGCUAGAGUCCGGAAGAGGCGAGUGGAAUUCCCGGUGUAGCGGUGAAAUGCGCAGAUAUCGGGAGGAACACCAAUGGCGAAGGCAGCUCGCUGGGACGGUACUGACGCUGAGACGCGAAAGCCAGGGGAGCAAAGCGGG